ACACUAACCUGGCAAGGGAUACAGCAUGAUCACAAAGGUGGUUUUCCUAGGGCGAGGAUCACACAUUGCACUCUGGGUUGCUGACCCCUAUGAUUUCCCCAAAUGCGGGAAACUCAACUGCAUAAUUUGUGAUAGUGGGGCACUGUGUUUGCGCUCUCCCCUG
ensembl:snRNA U1 U1 spliceosomal RNA